rnacentral:lncRNA from 1 species
ACUCUGCUUCCACCCCUCCCUGGAGAAUGGUGGCUAGGAACACGGAGCAGAGACUCACCGCGGGCCCAUGCCCGGUUUGGCACGUGCCUCGGCCGUGAGGAGGAGGAGGGAUGCAAGCUUCGCUCCUCUACCCUGUGCUGAUCACACUGGGUCCCGCUGUUCCCACGUCUGCCUCCCUACCAGACUGAGCUCCAAGCUGCCAGGGGCCUCGUCUCCAUCUGGGUCCCAGUUCCCACCAUAGAGCUGGGCAUGGAGGACAGCUCAGGGAAGCUUCUUGGGAAAUGAAUUCUGGGAGUUCCCUCUGCCAAGGACCCACUGUGUUAAGAGCUUUAAGGUAUAGACCAAGAGAAAUGGCGGCAUCUGCACACACAAAAACUUGUACAGGAAUGUUCACAGCAGCAAUAACAGCCAAAAAGUGGGAACAAUCUUAAUGUCUACCAACUGACGAACAGGUAUAGACCAAGAGGUAUGGAGGCCAAGGCGAGCAGAUUACUUGAGGUCAGGAGUUCGAGACCAGCCUGGCCAGCGGUUCCAGUGAGGCCCAUGUGAGGCAGUCACUCAGGGCAGUAGCCCCCUCACUGGCCUCCCCACUUCCACUCACACCCACUAUGGCCCACUCCCCACACCUCACAUUCCUGCCCAGGGUCCCCCAGCGGUCCCAUCUUGCUGAGAACCUGCCGGCACUCCUCUUUGCCUGCACGGGCUCACUCAGCCACACAGGUGUCCUCGCGGCUGCUCCACCUCACAGGGCUGGCCCCUGCCUCAGGACUGCAAUACCCGGCUGUUUCUUCUGCCUGGAAUGCUCACACCCCAAACCUUG